rnacentral:rRNA from 1 species
UGGGGAAUUUUGGACAAUGGGGGCAACCCUGAUCCAGCAAUGCCGCGUGUGUGAAGAAGGCCUUCGGGUUGUAAAGCACUUUUGUCCGGAAAGAAAUCGCGCUGGCUAAUACCUGGCGUGGAUGACGGUACCGGAAGAAUAAGCACCGGCUAACUACGUGCCAGCAGCCGCGGUAAUACGUAGGGUGCGAGCGUUAAUCGGAAUUACUGUGCGUAAAGCGUGCGCAGGCGGUUUUGUAAGACAGGCGUGAAAUCCCCGGGCUCAACCUGGGGAAUUGCGCUUGUGACUGCAAGGCUAGAGUGUGUCAGAGGGGGGUAGAAUUCCACGUGUGCAGUGAAAUGCGUAGAGAUGUGGAGGAAUACCGAUGCGAAGGCAGCCCCCUGGGACAAGACUGACGCUCAUGCACGAAAGCGUGGGGAGCAAACAGGAUUAGAUACCCUGGUAGUCCACGCCCUAAACGAUGCUAAACUAGUUGUUGGGGAUUCAUUUCCUCAGUAACGUAGCUAACGCGUGAAGUUGACCGCCUGGGGAGUACGGUCGCAAGAUUAAAACUCAAAUGAAUUGACGGGGU